GCCAGUGUGGUGUAGUGGUUUGAGCGUUGGACUACAACUCUGGAGGCCAGAGUUCAAAUCAUAGAUUGGCC